GUAGGAAUAUCAGUCCGAGUUCCGCUACACAAACGUAAACAUGUGUUGUACAAGUGUGCCUGAUAACAGCCCCAAACAAAGGAAAAGAAUGAUUAUAUUAGCUCUCGUGUCUUUGUUUGCAUUAUUUGAUGAUUGUGUUGGCGACUGUGUCUGGUAUGGUCAGUGUGGCUACAACCAUGGAU
rnacentral:sRNA from 1 species